AUUGAACGCUGUCGGCAGACCUAACACAUGCAAGUCGAGCGAGCGGCGGACGGGUGAUUAAUGCCUAGGAAUCUGCCUGAUGGAGGGGGAUAACUCCUGGAAACGGUAGCUAAUACCGCAUACCAUCAGAUGUGCCCAGAUGGGAUUAGCUUGUUGGUGGGGUAACGGGUCACCAAGGCGACGAUCCCUAGCUGUGCUGAGAGGAUGACCAGCCACACUGGAACUGAGAAACGGUACAGACUCGUACGGGAGGCAGCAGUGGGGAAUAUUGCACAAUGGGCGAAAGGCAGAUGCAGCCAUGCCGCGUGUAUGAAGAGGGCCUUCGGGUUGUAAAGUACUUUCAGCGGGGAGGCGUUACCCGCAGAAGAAGCACCGGCUAACUCCGUGCCAGCAGCCGCGGUAAUUC
rnacentral:rRNA from 1 species